rnacentral:other from 1 species
UAUACUCUGCGAUGUGCGAAAAAAACUUAUUUAAUUCAACCGACAUAAAAGAUCCGGGAAACCAAAUUUUUUGACGGAUAACAGGCCGCAGGAUUGUGGAAGUUAGAAAUCAAAGUGAGGUCAACCACACUGAGUGAGGGCGGGUCUGAAUUAAUAAGCAUACGGCAUUGUGGAGUUUUU